GGUCUGGUAAGUUAGGCAUCCGGAGGUUCUCUCUGAAGGGAAGGAAAAUAGUUUCUCUUCAAAUAGCCUAGAUUGUAUCUAAAAUUUUUUUAUUAAUCUAUAUGAAUAAAGAUCAAAUCCUUACUUGAUUAAUAGCAGAAUGAGAGAUCAAAUCUCUAAAAAUCUGAAACAAUCUUUCUCGAAGGCCUAGAUGUGCAGACCCUCUACUUCGCAUAUACGCC
rnacentral:lncRNA from 1 species